GACGGAAGGUGCAAGCGUUGCUCGGAAUCACUGGGCGUAGAGCGCACGUAGGCGGACUCUUAAGUCGGUGGUGAAAUCCUGGAGCUCAACUCCAGAACUGCCUUCGAUACUGGGAGUCUCGAGUUCGGGAGAGGUGAGUGGAACUGCGAGUGUAGAGGUGAAAUUCGUAGAUAUUCGCAAGAACACCAGUGGCGAAGGCGGCUCACUGGCCCGAUACUGACGCUGAGGUGCGAAAGCGUGGGGAGCAAACAGG
rnacentral:rRNA from 1 species